rnacentral:rRNA from 1 species
GCGGACGGGUGAGUAAUGCAUAGGAAUCUACCCGAUAGUGGGGGAUAACCUGGGGAAACCCAGGCUAAUACCGCAUACGUCCUACGGAAGAAAGGGGGCUUCGGCUCCCGCUAUCGGAUGAGCCUAUGUCGGAUUAGCUAGUUGGUGAGGUAACGGCUCACCAAGGCCACGAUCCGUAGCUGGUCUGAGAGGAUGAUCAGCCACAUCGGGACUGAGACACGGCCCGAACUCCUACGGGAGGCAGCAGUGGGGAAUAUUGGACAAUGGGGGGAACCCUGAUCCAGCCAUGCCGCGUGUGUGAAGAAGGCCCUCGGGUUGUAAAGCACUUUCAGCGAGGAAGAGCGCCUAGCGGUUAAUACCCGCUAGGAAAGACAUCACUCGCAGAAGAAGCACCGGCUAACUCCGUGCCAGCAGCCGCGGUAAUACGGAGGGUGCAAGCGUUAAUCGGAAUUACUGGGCGUAAAGCGCGCGUAGGUGGCUUGAUAAGCCGGUUGUGAAAGCCCCGGGCUCAACCUGGGAACGGCAUCCGGAACUGUCAAGCUAGAGUGCAGGAGAGGAAGGUAGAAUUCCCGGUGUAGCGGUGAAAUGCGUAGAGAUCGGGAGGAAUACCAGUGGCGAAGGCGGCCUUCUGGACUGACACUGACACUGAGGUGCGAAAGCGUGGGUAGCAAACAGGAUUAGAUACCCUGGUAGUCCACGC